UUCUAGAAAUCUAUAAUUUCAAGCACUGAAAAUAAUAGAAUGUGGUAUAUUAGUUCAAACCAAAAUUUCGUGGACACAGUUUCAGAAGAGUUCCUUUCAGAGACCCUACAAGUCAUGAUGCCAACUGGUCCAACAUUUGCAGAUGUCCUGAAACACAACAUAACAAAAGGAGUUGCAUUAUUUAUGAAUGACCAGUAAAGCACCAAGAUUUUCCCUUAA